UUAGCCUGCUGUGACGAAGAAUUUAAUUCCAGGAACUUAGAGACUAACCUGUUUUCUGGAACUGUUCCUCAUGAGCUUGGGAAUUUGGUUAACUUGGAGAUUUUCAUUCUCCGUAAAAACAAUCUCACAGGAGAAUUGCCAGUGGCUUUCGCUAAUCUGACUAAAUUAAGAGAAUUUACGAUUAGCAGUAACAACUUCACGGGAAAAAUACCUGAUUAUUUGGAAAAUUUUAAACAACUUGAGAAAUUAGGGAUUUGUGCUAGUGGUCUCCGUGGGCCCAUUCCGUCC